AAUACGUUCCCGGGCCUUGUACACACCGCCCGUCAAGCCAUGGGAGCCGGGGGUAUCUGAAGUGCGUAACCGCAAGGAGCGUCCUAGGGUAAAACUGGUGACUGGGGCU
rnacentral:rRNA from 1 species